UCUCCAUCCUGACAGAUUUACUCCAGCUGCACACCACAGCUAAGAAACAGAAGUAUUGCAGUGUGACUUCAUGGUUUACCCCAGAACCCUGAGUUUCUCCCCUGAAGGUUCCCUCCCAGGGAGCUUUUUAAGAGAAUGCCUGGAAGAGGACUACAGAAAUACUAGAUUUAUCCAAAACCUUAAAGAAAAAAUGCUGCACAGAACAUCUAAAGAUCACACCUAGAACCUUCUAGAAACAACAGCAAAAAAAUUUUCUUACAAUUUAACCAUCAGGAUGACUUCUAAAAAUCAUCUCUGAAUGAAGUAAUGACAAACUGACUAUUUCAAAACAACCAGUCACAGCAGGUAAGUCUGCCACCUACACAGCUUAUGCCCAACUGCAAUUCUACUCAAACAUUCUAGUAUUAAUAGACAUGGCUUCACAAAAAUCUACUCCAGAUAAUACUGGCCUGUUACCAAUGAAUUCUGGUCAACAGUAGAAUCUAAGGAGCGAUGAAAUGCAUUUUUACUUUCACUUGGUCAUUUUCAUGAAUUUUUAUAUUAGUUUUCAUUACACCCUGAGGAGUCUUAGCAAAAGCAUUAGAAGCAUAAAAUGUUGCUGUUGUUGAUGAAUUGUCUCAAAAAAGCAAAAGAUGUCAGAGAGCAGCAGGGGACUAGCAACCAGAACCAGCUGAGUAUUUUGUCCUGAAAUACUUUUUCCUACAUUCACUACAAACCACCAUUCAAAAAAAGGAAGUGGAAGAUAGAAUUUGGAAUAUAUAAUGUCAAAAGAAUAGACUGUUGUAAAAAUGGCAGGUUUAGUGCCCCAAAUCCUUUGCUUAUUUCAUGUCCCCUUUCUGGACUGCAGAGUAAGCAGAAAUAACGUACCUUCAUAGUUGGGUCCUUCUCUACUAGCGGGCGACAAUAUACAGGCACAGGGACAUUUUUCAUGCGAGUGUCUUCCUGACCACCAUUAGGACUCAGCUAGGGGUAGAGAAGACAAAAAAGACAGUAUAAAGCUGCAAACACCGGGAUACAGCAAGAGAGAAGGAAUCAGUGUGACAGAACCAACCACAGGUGGCUGCUGCUGAGGCUUCCUAUCACAUCUUGUAUGAAACAGAGUCCUUAAGGGGAGAGGAGCAGCACACCCAAGAGACCAUCUCACAAUCAUCAGUGCCCCAGUGAUGGCCCACAGAGGCUACACAUUGCUGUGCUGAUAAAGAAUAGAUGCUCCCUGCAAAGAGUCAGGACACUAGCAUUCCUUUCCAUCCUGACAGUUGGACUUGAUGACCUUAAAAGUCUUUUCCAAACUUAAUGACUCUAAGGCUUAAAAACUCCAAAUCAUGCUGCCAGGCUCCUCCCCUUCAGGAGGUCUCUGACCAGUUAAAUGUGUCACAAGCCAACAAAUGAGGCUGAUGUUGUUUGAUUUCAUGUUACUGAUGGGAAGAAGUGGGCAUAAACUGCAUUUGUUUUUCAUACUAGAUGACUGUUAAAGUUCUCAGAGGAUAAACGAAAUAACUAACGUUCCAGCCCAAUUAUAACAAAGGAUAUUUAUUUUUAAAAGAACUGGAUUCUGGUUUAGGGUACUUUUGGUUUAGGGUAUUUUUCAGUUUCAGUACUUUCUUGCAGAGGAAUGUCCCUCCCGUGACUUUGGUGGAGAUAUACAGAACAUCAUUUUGAUCUGUGCCUACAAUUAUCAUACAAACAAAACAUGCACAUGGUAUGUCUAAAUUAAAUAGUUAAUGACUAAAGUCACCUUCCAGUCAGCCUGUCCAGAGCAUGGUCCCUACCUGCUUGUACUUGGCUGGAAGGCUCCAGCCACAGGCCUGCAGCCGCCCAUCAUCGUUGCGCACAUGCUCCCGGACCUGCCGGUACUGCUCUCGCUUCUGCUCCCGGCGUGCCGAGGACGUGCAGUCACUGAGGAGAGAAGCACAGCAUCACCCAGCUGAAGGUUAAAGAGAGGAGCUGAGGGUGAAGGAAGUGUGGCCAGUAUCGGGGAGGGCACACACAGCAAACCAAAUCCAGCUGUGAAAAGAGAUGUAGGGAAUCAGAGACAGAAAAACUGUUGAGAAGCAGACACAGGCAGUUCUGACCCAUCACCUGAGCAAUGUGGCAAGACAAGUCAUUGUCAUGACCUCUUAUGGUGUUCCAAGAGCCCUUCAAAAACAGGGAAUAAUCCUUCUCUAAAACCUAGGAGAUCACACCAAUUUUUGCUGAGCUGUUACAAUUUACUAGUCUAGUCUAGUACUAGUCUCCAUCAGAAAGGCAUUUUCAGUUCUUUCCCUCCUCAUUAUAGUCAACUAUGGAUUUUUCUGUCCUUUUUUAAGCUUUGUCUGCUGACAAGGAAAACAUGCACUCAACUGCUGGUUCCAAUAUAACAACUCCAGGUUUGCGCUGGCAAAGCUUAAACCAAAAACUGAUGUGUGAGCUUUUAGACAUGUUUCAAUAUAAACAAAUGCUGUUUGUCAGUUCCAGCUCUCAAAACGUUUUUGAGGUAUCAUUCUGAGGUACAAACAACAUCAGCUGAAAAAUUUAAUCCUGUGAGCAGCCCCAUUAUGUAAAACACUGCUGAGAAGUACCCAGACACCUACGUUACCACCACGUUCUGCAAAGUCCUUCCAUAAAAACACACCCCCAUGUGAAACCAAACAACCUUUGCAGUGGCAGAACACAUUGUGAAGUCAUGUAAAGCACUGAAGAGUUUUCUCCCUUCAUGUCUGCGACAUGAAGAAUUUGGGUAAGACUGUAGUAGUGAUACCCAGAGGCUCAAUUUUAGCAUGGUUUAAAUUAAAACCAAGUACUGGAACUUUAAUGUGCUGUGGAGACAACUUUUAUCUUCACUUACACCCCUUGUCAAAAGGGUUGUGCAGACAUUUCAUCCCUUUGUCCUGAUACUGCCAUCACACUCCACCACAAACACCCUCCUUCAUUUCAUCCUGGUCUGCAAAUACAAGUGCAGAACUAGAGAGGGGCCACCUUGAGCUCCCGUGGUCCCUGCUGAGAUGAUCCAUCAUGGCCUGAAAAGCUAUGGAUACUGUGUUUGGGAGGACAAGGUUUGCUGAACCCAUCCAUAUAGUAACUGAUGAGUGAAAACUCAGGGAGAUAAGCCUCAGAGAACAGAGAUAUACUGUUGCCCUGUUUUUCUAAAGUUCUUGUAAGCCUUCUAAUGUUUACAUUUUUGUAAUGGAGUUUCUCACGCACUUUGCAUGUAAAUAACAAUUGUUUUGCAUUCCUUUCUGGAAGAAGAGAGAAUUGACAGACUGUUGGUUUGACCAGUGUAGCUGGAAAAGUGGCAAUUUCAUCCUCCAAUCCACAGUCACUUUUGGAAUUCUAUAAAUAUCAAAGUCCAGAAAUAAACGUGCUUUUUUCACCUUAAA